ensembl:lncRNA
CCCGCUCUCGCCGCGCGUUCCGGGCUCGGUGCCGAGCCCUCCCGACUGCCGCGCAUCAGCCUCCCCGUUGCCUCUCCGCUCGCUGCCGGCUCCGCAGGCGGCGGGGCAGCGCGGAUCCCGCGGUCUCCCCAGCGGCACUGGCCGCCCGUGGAGGGGCCGGGGAAGGGAGUGUCUGUUUCUUCGCUCGCCAGCCCCUCGGUGCCUUCUCCUGCCUCUUUGCAGCGCCGCCCGCUGCAGGCCCACGCGGGGCGAGAGGCGACCUCCACCUGAGCAGGAGCUGUGCAGCCCCUCUACGCGGGUAGGACUUGGCGGGCUCAGACACCUUUUCAGCACUCACCGACAAACCGGGACGGAGGAGCCGUGGGGAGGGAGGGACUGGCCCGACGUGCCCUCAGGAGAGGAGGGCAAAGGGAGCCGGGCCAGGAGAGCCAAGAGCGAAGUCCAAGCCUGGGGAAGCUGGGCGAGAGCUCGGAGAGAGGCCAGCAAUCCCCGCCCCGGUGGUCCCAGCCGUUUCCCGACGCUUUCGCCGCUGCCCUACUCUCCCACCGGAGCACAGCCCGGGCUGGGGCCCGGUAUACCGGGAGGAGGUACAGGGGCGAGCCGUGCCCCCCAGGUUCCCACGGGGCUGCGGCCUGGGCUCCCCCCGUCACCAGAAUCUUCCGGCCGCACCGCGAUAGUGGGCACAUCCCCACGCGGUCCCGUCUUUCUCUCCCCCUUCCCCCGCCGCAGGGCUUGCAGCUGGGCGCGGAGACAACGGGUGCUGCGACCGGGACGGGCGCCGGUCAGGGCGGCGGCGGCUGUCAGCGCCGUUCCCGCUCCGCGCCGCCCGGGCAGCUGCCAGGGUUUUGGCAGCUCGCUCCGCAGACGUCUCCCAAGGACUCCUGCGAGGGCUGUGAGGGGUCACGGGGAAUGGCGGAACAGUGCGAGAGGCCGCGGAACGGCAGGCAGCUCGGCCGAGCAGGGAGAGCGAGGACCGGCCAGCGUGGGGGAAAGGGAGAGGUGCAAAGAGCCGAGACACACACACACAGAGGACAGGCAAGGCCACCAGCCUGCAAAAUGCCGAGCUGGCAGCUUGCCGAGAAGCUGGGGAGCUCUGCUGUCCCGAGAGCCAAGAAGUGGCAUGAAGGAGCAGCCUGAACGGGGCAAAGACUCUCUUAAAGACCUGGUGGAACCUAUCGGUUAAAAAACCUGGCUUCCCCUUCCAGUGCCCGGGUGUACCUGCAGCGUAGUCGAUGCCUUUCUGUCUCCCGUCCCAUUAUUCCGCUACAGUCUAAUCCUUGUGUUGUGACCUACAGCAGCGCUCUGAUUUAUUUUUAAUGCGUUCCGAUUCCUGUUCCGUUGUCAAGAGAUGCAUUGAGAUUCAUUUUAUAUCCCUUGCUUUUCAGACUUCUGUUCUGCUGGAGGGACCCGCCAAUAGAGUUUAAUUCGAUUUUAUAUGAUUUAAUGAACACCUUUAUCUUUUGUUUUUGAGCAGGAGGAUAAAGAAUACAACCGCAUUCAGCUUUUGCUAAAUCAGACAUGUUUCCCACCGAAAUCCUAUCUGGUGGCACACACUCACUGUAACAUUUCAUUAACAACCCCCUUGAUAUAUUGAUUUUUAAUAUUUGUAUUAAAUGUUGUGUAAAAUUGAACUCAGGCG